CUACUUCAUGACUGUGAUUCUGCUACUGUUAUGAAUUGUAAUGUAAAUAUCUGAUGUGCAGGGUAUCUGAUAUGAAACUCCCCCAAAGGAGUCAAGACCCACAGGCUGAGAACCAUUGGAAUGGAACUCAUAGAAAGAGAAAGAUCUAGGCUCACUUUCCUAUGCUUGGAACACCUGGGCUCAUGCCUCUUUCUAUCCUGAUACACAUCAGUGCCAUGGACCAGACUAGAAAGGCAACUUCUAUUCUCCAUUCCUCAACUCUACCUCAGGCAGAGGCCGGCUGCCUGGGAAAGGAUGUGACCAUAAGAGAGACAGCUAUCUUCAGUGGGGACCUGGUGGAGGAGCUGUCACCACUUCAAGCCAUUGUGUUACAGGGUGGAGUUCCUGAACUUCCUGGCAAUCUGAAUCCACUUCUGAGUCUUUAAUCUCAGGCCCUGGUGGGAUGACUCAAGCCUGGCUUCUCUGGAACAGGUCCUACAGAGCAAGACACUGCUCGAGAGCCAGAGCUAGUGAGCAGCAGGGGCUGGAACAGAACCCUGGCUGCUUGGAGUCCAAUAUCCCAUCUUUCCUGCAGUGGGGAGGGAUAGGAGAAUGCUGAGCUGUACAACAUCUGCUUUCACAGCUGCUCACCACGGUGUUCUCCGUGCAACUGGGGACAGAAUGGCAUCUGACAAGCAGACGCACUGGGAGCAUGGGAUAAUGUGUAGAUCUUGGGGUGAAGGUAAUACUGGGGAUGUUAGCAUGGUCACUGAGGAGGUAGGUAUGGAUCUUUGAAUCAUGUCUGGGCUUUGAUGUGAGUGGAGAUGAAGGUUUUCUAGCAUCGGGCUAGGAAAUGUGAGGUUGCCUGCACCAAGGGCAGCGGGAAUGAUGCUUGUAUCAGAAGACAGCCAGCGAACACUCAGAAUAUGUGGUUGUCAUGAUGGUGACCCACUCAGGGUAAGAGAACCACUCUUGGAUUGAAUGGGAAAGCAGGAUUUGCAGACAGGGGCCAUAAUGUGCACCCAGGACGCAUUCAGGCUGGUGGCCCAUGGAGGAGGAUGCAUCCAUGUGACUAUGGCCUGUGGAGUUUCAAACUUACCCAUCUACGUCUCUUAAAAGAUCCCCUGUAGACGAUGGGGUCAUAGUGUUGCUAAUGGACAUCAACUGGAAAUGCUCAUGUGUGUUGUUGUUACAUUCCUCAAAUUCAUUUGGCAAAGGAAUACACUGUGAUCCAUCUCCUGGGAGUGCUGUUGGAGAGCACUGUUCCAGAAAAUAUGCUUGAACAGUGCUCUCCAACCAGCUUGUGGGUACUACACAGCACAGUGCCCUGUGCUUCUUCAUGGAUAAGCAAGGGUGAUGCCAGGGUUGAUAUGAUGGAGAAGUGAGGAGAGCGGUCAUGGUUACAGGGCCACGUUCACGACAAGGACAUUGGUGACCAGGGUGGUGAAUGGUUGCUGGGGAGAGCAGAUUUUUUAGUGGAGCUGUCACCAAAUUGGGCAGAAAGCACCAGAAAAACAGUUGCCUAAGAGUCACCCAUAAUUCUGUAAUUUAUCCCUCAUUCAUGCUUACAAGUAAUCCCAUUAAACUCAGUUCUACCAAGCUGGGCCUGGGUGAGAUUGCUUCUUUGGUCUCUUCUUGAUGCCCUGUGCCUUAGUCAGUGUUAUAUUGCUGUGAAGAGACACUAUGGCCAUGGAAACUCUUAUAAAGCAAAACAUUUAAUUGGAGCUGUCUUGUAGUUUGGAGGUUUGGUCCACUAUCAUCAAGGCAGGAAGCAUAGUGGCAUGUAGGCAGACAUGGCACUGGAGAGGGAGUUGAUCUGCAAGCAGCAGGAAGAGAAUGAGACACACGGGGCCUGGCUUGAGCUUCUGAGACCUCAAAGCCCACCCCCAGUGACACACUUCCCCCAACAACACCACACCUACUCCAGCAAGGCCACACCUCCAAAUAGUGCCAGUUCCUAUUGAGCCUCUGGGGCCAUUUUCAUUCAAACCACCACAGCCUGUCUGGGGCAAACAGACAAUUUGUUCAUGCUGCCUGUGACAGUGACUAUCAACUGACAGGAUCUAGAAUCACCUAGGAGACAAGCCACUGGACAUGCCGAUGAAAAAUUAUCUAGAAUUGAUUGGCAUCUGGUCAUGCCCAUGAAGAAUUAUUUUGCUUAGGUUAAUUUAGGUGGAAGACUCACUCUAAAAGUGGGCGGUGCCAUUCCCUAGACUUGGACUCUGUUUGCAAAAGACAAAGCAAGCUGAACACCCAUUUCUGCUUCCUGAGUACAGACACAUUGCUGUGACUUCUCUGCCAUGAUGGACUGUACCCCUGAACUGUGAGCCAGAGUAAGCCCUUCCUCCAUUAAGCUGUUUUUGUCAGGGUAUUUUUUUUUAUUACAGUAGCAAAAGUAACUAAGAUGCCUCUCCGGGCAAAGGCACACAACACAUAGCGUUUGCAUAUUAGUAACACAAUGCUAAUCUAGACGGGCUAAUGAACCAGCUCGUAGCCAGAAGGUCAGCAGUGCAGACCAGGAGGCAGAUAAAGAACUGAUGAUCUUCUGCCACAGGGCAGCCCAUUGCAAGUAUGUAGGACCCUUGCUGGAAUCACAUAUGUGGUUUCCAUAGCCAUGGGAUUCCUAGGCCAGGACCCAGUCAGAAGUGGGGCUGGAACAUGGCCCCUCCUGUCUCAGUCUGGUCACACUGGAGAGGGUGGGGUGAUAGAGGGCUGGGGAGCAGGAAUGGUGAAAGUUGUUAAAGAAGGUUUUGGUGGCAUUGGCAACAGUCAUGGUGCCAACAGUGAAGGUGAUAAUGGUUGUUCAUGGUGAUGGUGAAGGCGAGGACAGCACUGAUAGGGACCAAAGGUGAUGGUGUUGGGAUUGACAGGGCAAUGUGGCAGUGGGUGACGGGCAGUGAUGAAGAUGCCUCAAAUCAUGACACUGGUACCAGUGAUGCAGGAUUCUUCAGCGCUGUUCACCAAUAUGGCCCUCAGAUGACGUCCAUAAUGCCUUUCUUGGGAGCAGAUGGGGCUUUGAUGGCUGACAAGAACAGCUCCUGCUUCAGAAGUAUUUGACUAUCUGUGUGGAGAGGUAGCCUUAACCAUUCUCCGUAAGUCAGCCCCACGCUUCGCUCCUUGUGCUUUUUCGGGUUCACAGGUAGUCAGCUCCAUAUGCCACUCCCAUCGGGGACUUGAAGCCUGAACAAAUAAAUCACACUCAUUAUUCA
rnacentral:lncRNA from 1 species